rnacentral:ncRNA from 1 species
GUAAGGAGACAUAAGAGGUGUAGAAUAAGUGGGAGAUAUUAGACUUCGGUUUGGUAUCGACAAUGAAAUACCACUACUCUUAUUGUUUCCUUACUUACUUGAUUAAAUGGAACGUGUAUCAUUCCUAGCCAUUAUACGGAUGUAUUUAUUAUAUCUUAUGGUAUUGGGUUUGAUGCAAGCUCUGAUCAAAG